UUACAAAGUGUAUUAUAACGUACAUAUGUCGUCAAUAGCGAAACAAUGACAUUUAAAUUUUCAGAAAAACUGUCAUGAUUGCACUAUAUUUGACUGAAAAUAAUUGUCAUCAAUAUUAAAACAAUGACAUUUUCAUAAGAAAAACUGUCACAAUUGCCCUGCAGGAAAAAAAUGUCGUCAAUAGCAAAACAAUGACAUUUAAUUUCUAAAAAAAAUGUCACAAUUGACAUAUCCUUGAAAUUUAAAAAAUGUCAUAAUAUAAAAUAUGACAGAUAUUUGUUGUCAUAAAAUAGUAAUUAACGACAUUUAUUUUUCUGUCAUGCAAAAACUUAUUGCAACCGUUUUAGAAAACUAUCAUGGAAUGACUUUCCAUGACUCCCGCUUCUAUGAUUGUAAAUAACGAUGUAGACCACUUUUCUUGUAGUAUGAGUAUAAUUUAUAGUCAAUAAGGAACCCACUAUUAUUCCCGCUAAAUAUUUGUUAAAUUUCUGUUAGAGUCUUGUAGGAAGGUACUGUCUAAACAUUUUGCUCCCGAUAAACCUAACAUAAUAUUAUAGUCUAUAUAAAUAUGUCACAUCAUAAAUACUGUAACUUAGUCAAACAUAACUCUAUCAUAUCAUGUUUAAUCAUAGCAUACCUCAAAUACAAUGUAUCAUGUAAUUUUAAUGUAAGCAAUCUAUCAUAACAUCUCAAUCAUACAUGUUUUCCCUUAACUACAUUAAUACAUGAUACAAAAUAUACAUGCAAUUUUAACAUGGGGAUCCAAUAGAAAAAUCUCUUACCUAGAUAUUAGCUACACAAAAUUUAAUCAUGGCUGCGGUCAAACUUUCCAAUAAGCCAAUCCAACGAAUGAGGUUGAAAUCCAAUUCGACCUUAGUUCGGAGAAUUUCACAACUCAAAUUCCCAAUUAAAAUUUACCAAACGUUCAAGCAAAAUAUCUCAUCUUAAAAUCCACAACUUAACUUGGUUGGGACAAAAUAGAUAAAUACUGGAAGUACCAUAUCCAAUCAAAAGUAAGCAAUUCUCACCAAGUAGUGUCUCAAAACAGGGAACGACUCGACAAAGGCAGUCGACUCGGGCGCACGGCUCGCGAAAAGGAACCGGCUCGAACACUUGCACUCGCGCAGCUUGGAGACGUGCGACUUGAUGGGGGGAACGACUAUGUGAAGGUUGUAGCAGCUCGGGUCUAAAACGCGGCUGACGCGUGCAACUUGAAGAGGGGCUCGGCUGCGUGGGUUAUGUGCGGCUGUCGAGAUGGGGAACGAUCAGCGUCGUGGACUUCUGUACAAAGAGAGACGAUCGACGACGGAGGAGAAGUGCACGGAGGAAGACAAAGGUCGUUCGACGGUCUAAACGCAACAACAAGUCGACGCGGCUGGAGGGAAUCGAAUGGUUGGCUACGCGAUCGUGACACUUCGACUUUGGGACGAACUGAGACGCUCUCACCGAAAUGCUGCACGCGACGAAGGCUAGAGGAGUGGGGCGACGGCGUCUGCUCCUAGGGAUUCUUUGUAGAGAGGAAAUGUGAAUGGUAAAGGCACGUGAGAACCUCUAUUAAAUAUAUACAAUAAUAAUAUUAUCUAUUUUCCCCAAAUAACUCCUCUUUUCCUUUUUCUCUUUCCAAUCCAAUUAAUUUCUCUCUCUCUUUGAUAAGGCAAUCAAAUUAUCUCCUCUAAAUUCUCA
rnacentral:lncRNA from 1 species